GGAAUAUUGGGCAAUGGAGGAAACUCUGACCCAGCGACGCCGCGUGCGGGAUGAAGGCCUUCGGGUUGUAAACCGCUUUCAGCAGGGAAGAAGCGAAAGUGACGGUACCUGCAGAAGAAGCACCGGCUAACUAUGUGCCAGCAGCCGCGGUAAUACAUAGGGUGCAAGCGUUGUCCGGAUUUAUUGGGCGUAAAGAGUUCGUAGGCGGUUUUUCGCGUCGGAUGUGAAAACUCAGGGCUCAACCCUGAGCCUGCAUUCGAUACGGGAAGACUCGAGGACGGCAGGGGAGACUGGAACUUCUGGUGUAGCGGUGGAAUGCGCAGAUAUCAGAAAGAACACCAAUGGCGAAGGCAGGUCUCUGGGCCGAUCCUGACGCUGAGGAACGAAAGCGUGGGGAGCAAACAGGAUUAGAUACCCUGGUAGUCCACGCCGUAAACUAUGGACGCUAGGUGUGGGGGACAUUCCACGUUCUCUGCGCCGCAGCUAACGCAUUAAGCGUCCCGCCUGGGGAGUACGACCGCAAGGUUAAAACUCAAAGGAAUUGACGG
rnacentral:rRNA from 1 species